rnacentral:rRNA from 1 species
GGCGGCGUGCCUAACACAUGCAAGUCGAACGAGAAAGUGGAGCAAUCCAUGAGUACAGUGGCGACCGGGUGAGUAACACGUGACUACCUACCCUUGAGUGGGGGAUAACCUCGGGAAACCGAGGCUAAUACCGCAUAAUAUCGAAAGAUCAAAGGAGAAAUCCGCUUUUGGAGGGGGUCGCGGCUGAUUAGCUAGUUGGUAGGGUAAUGGCCUACCAAGGCGAAGAUCGGUAUCCGGCCUGAGAGGGCGCACGGACACACUGGAACUGAAACACGGUCCAGACUCCUACGGGAGGCAGCAGUGGGGAAUUUUGCGCAAUGGGGGAAACCCUGACGCAGCAACGCCGCGUGGAGGAUGAAGCCCCUUGGGGUGUAAACUCCUUUCGACCGGGAAAAUAAUGAUGGUACCGGUGGAAGAAGCACCGGCUAACUCUGUGCCAGCAGCCGCGGUAAUACAGAGGGUGCGAGCGUUGUUCGGAAUUAUUGGGCGUAAAGGGCGCGU